ACCGAAAAAGCCAAACCUUUCGUGAGAGGGGGGCGGAAAGCAACGGGUCUUCAGAUGAAGAUGGCCGGGCUGCCGAAG
rfam:Geobacter uraniireducens Rf4, complete genome.